UGAUCUCUCAAGUUGCCCACUUGGCCCUCUUCCAAGGGUACUUUACUUCCUUUUAUUCCUGCUCUACAACUUUUUAAUAAACUUACACUCCUGCUCUAAAACAUGCUUUGGUUUCUCCUUCUGAGUCUUUCUUCUGAGGAAGAAAUAAUUGAAGUUGCUGCAGAUCUGUAUGGAUAUAGAUUUGCUGCCAGUAACGAGAUCUGAUGGUUUCACUGCUGAAUUUUAUCAAACAUUUAAGGAAGAACUGAUACCAAUCCUGCUCAAACUAUUGCAAGAUGUAUAAGAUUAGGGAAUACUUCAAAACUCAUUUUAGGAGGACAGUAUUACUGACAUCAAAAAUCAAACAAAGACAUAAGAAGAACAAAACAAAACUACAGGCCAGUAUCUGAUGAACAUUGAUGCAAAAUUCCUAAACAAAACACUAGCAAAUUGAAUUCAACAACAUAUUAAAAUGAUCAUUCAUCAUGACCAAGUAGAAUUCAUCCCAGGAAGGAAAGAAUGAUCUAACAUAUGCAAAUCAAUCAAUGAAGUCAAAUCAAUCAAAUUGAUUGAAAUCAAUCAAAGAGUGCAAAGGUUAGUGGAGAGGGAGGGAAAAAGUGUGGAUUGAUGAUGGGUAUAAAAACAUAGUUAGAAUGAGUAAGAUCUAGUACUUGAUAGCACAACAGGUUGACUACAGUCAAAAAUAAUUUAUGAUAUAUUUUUAAAUAGCUAAAAUAGCAGAAAUGGAAUGCUCUUGUAAUGAAGAAAUAAUAAAUGCUUGGGGUGGUAAAUACCUCAAUUUCUCUGAUAUGGUUAUUGCACAUUAUAUUCCUGCAUAAAACCAUCACAUGUACCCCAUAAAUAUAUACACCUACUAUGUACACAUAAAAAUUAAAAAUGAGAAAUUAAAUUUAAAAAAUAGAAUGGCCACUAAAUCUCAGGUAAUAUAAAAAGAAAAUUAAAUCAAGUGCUUGCUUCAGUAGCACGUAUACUAAAUUUGGAAAGAUACAGAGAAGAUUAGCAUAGCCCCUACACAAGAAUGAUAUAAAUUCAUGAAUUGUUCUGUAUUUCAGGAAUAAAAAUCAAAUUAAAUCCUAAUCAAAUUACUAUAAAUACAUGGAAAAGAGAAAAAUCUAAAAAGAAAUUACAGGGAAAAAGGCACAUUAUAUACUAGAAAUGAAAGAUGAAUAUGACCAAAUAAUUCUUUUUGGAAAGAACCUAAGGCAAAAGACAAAAAAAAAAAAUGUCUUUAAAGUGCUGAGGAAGAGGAGUACACCUCUUCAAUUUAAAAUUGUACAGCCAGAAAAAAAUGUUUUUUAGAAAAUGAAAAGAAAUAAAUACCAAACACUUAUAGAUUCAUUACUAAAUAACUUACACUACACUAAAAUUAAUACUUAGCAAUUUUUUUCAAAAUGAAAUAAAAUGACCCUAGGUGGAAAUUAAGCACUCAUAUAGAAGUGAAGAGUAACAGAAUUAGUAAAUAUGUGAGUAAAUAUGGCCUCUUCUCCUUUUCAAGUUUCCUUUAAAACAUAAUUGAGCCAGGCAUAGUGGCUCACUCCUGUAAUCUCAGAACUCUGGGAGGUUGGGGCAAGAUGAUCAAUUGAGGCCAAGAAUUCAAGACAAGCCUGGCCCACACAAUUAGAUCUCAUCUCUACAAAAAAAAAAAAAAAAAAAAAAAAGGCCAUUAAAAGAAAAACUAGCUGGGCAUAGUGGCAUACAUCUUUAGUCCUAGCUACUCAGGAGGCUAAGACAGGAGGAUCACUUGAGCCCAGAAGUUUGAGGUUACAGUGAGUUGUGAUUGCACCACUGCACUCCAGCCUGGGCAACACAAUGAGAUCUGGUCUCAAUAAAUAAAUAAAUAAAUAAAUAAAUAAAUAAAUAAUUGAUUAUUUAAAACAAAAAUAACAACAUAUUUUAUUAUUUAAAACAUAUUCAGAAGUAAAAGUAUUAAUACAACAGUACAACGGGUGACAGAGACAAACUGAAAAAUAUUUGCAUAAGUGGUUAAUGCUAUGUAAAAAAGUCUGCAAUAUUGUUGGAAAGUAUAUUGUAAUAAGAUAAAUAUUGUUAACCUUAGAUUGACCUGUAAAAGAAAAUUAAAGAAAAAGAAAAAAAAUUUAAAUAUAGCUAAUUAGCCAAGAGUAAAUAAUACAAGGUAUUAAAUAAAAACCUAAAGGAGGUAUGAAGGUAGGAAAGAAAACAGAAACAAAUAGAAGUGGUCAAAGAGAAAGCAAACAGCAAAAUGGUAGACUUAAAGUCAACCAUACCACCAAUUGCAUUAAAUGUAAAAGGUUGAAACAGUUAAAUGGCAAAGAUUGCAAAGGUGAACUUAAUAAGACAGAGGAGGAAUUGGAGGCAGAUGAGGUAGUGGAGGAGGAAGAGGCGGAGAAGGAGAUCAACUCUAAAUUGUCAACCAGAAAACUACUUUCAAUCUAACAUAUGUAUAAAAAAGGAUAAAAAUUGUAUACUAUUCGAACACUAUUCAAACAAAAGCUGGAAUAGCUAUAUUAGCAUCAUAAUAAGUACACAUUAGAAAAAGAAAUGCAAUUAAUCACAUUACUUGUAGUAUUUAUGUUCUACAAAGUCACACAAGCACUGAAUUAGUGAAUAUUGAACCACGAUUCCAAAGAGUAAGUAUACACACACACACACACACACACACAUUUAACACAGAUUAUAAUCUUAAAUCCUAAAAAAAAUUAUGGUGGAUUUUAAUUUCUUAAUGUUAUAAAAAAAGAACAACAGAUUCAGAAAUGUUGAAGGACUUGCCCGAGACCACCCCACUAAUGUCUGCCUGAGUUGGAAUUCACACUCCCUCUAACUGGCCCCAGAUCCAGAGCUUCUUCCCUUACACUGCCCUGCUCCUACCAAAUGGUGAACUCUACAUGAGAGAUGAAGUAAGAAGGCAAUGCCAUCUUCUUUAAUUUUAGUUGGGGACCUGGGGGUUGGGCAACUCAGUCAUUUUGUGGCUCUGGACAUGUCUGCAAAUGACUGAGAAAAUCUCUGAGUAUUGAUUUUGGGGUUAAAAAUAAAUUUUAGUGAGCAGGAAAUUUGCAAAUAUGGCACACUCAAAUAAUAAGGAUAGACAAUAUUAAUAGUUGCAAAGAGGGGCAUAUAAUAAUAAUAAAAGGGACAAUUCACUGAGAAGAUGUGACAAUUCUGUGGGUAUGCAACUGAGAGCAAAGAUUCAAAUCACAGGAAAUAAAAAUAUACUGGAAAGAGAAAUAGACAAAUUCAAUAUUACGGUUGAUGGUUUUAACAUACCUUUGUCUAUAAUUUAAGGAAUAUUUAAAUGGAAAUCAACAAAAAGUAGAAAUCUUAGAAAAAUUAUUAUUCAAUUUAACUUAAAUCUCCAUUUUAUGGAAACUUUCACCCAAUAGCAAUAAAAUUGACAUUUCUCUGCUUAUCUUAACUAAUUUUUUGGAUGAUAAUCAGUUAAUUUUAGUUUUCCUGGAACUGAAGAGCAAUACAAUACCAAGAGAAGAUAGAAGAUAAUGUUUACUGGAAGAUGAUUCUUGUUGUUUGUAGACUCAAAAAUAUUUUCUUUAAAGUCAUUACUCUGGACAUUGAUAUGAAUAUUAGACAUAGAAAUAAAUGAAUAGAAUAGCUAUACAAAACUUUUUCAUAA
rnacentral:lncRNA from 10 species